rnacentral:rRNA from 1 species
GUCAUACUGCACUCACACGUUUGCCUAACUGCAAGAGACAUGUGUUCAUCUGAGUACUGCAUGGUCAAUGCCGCACACACAUCAAACCCCCAGGAUGCACAACUUGCAGUUUCAUUUAACUUAGAAAAACACCCAUGCACAAACUGUACGCCUGCACACCCCCGAGCUGCACGUGGCGAUACACCAAACCGCAUGCCUGUGCAAACCGAGCUACACGGAAUGAGCUGCUGAACCACUGUUGAGCAGUACAUUUGAAUGUGAACCUCAUUAAGCUCCCAUCUAAACUGCGGGCAGGGUCAGAGCUUACCGCAUCGAGUGCACUGCAGGACUAAGUGCAAAAUUACAUGGAAAUAUGCACAAGUAAACUUCACACCUCGGGAAAAGGAACUGAUUUCCUUUUAAAAUUAACUGGAAAAAACCUGCAAAUUCAACCGGAAGAACAACUCAUAGCAAACCGCAGUACAUCGGCAGCGAGCACCUUGAAGAAAAGUAAACUACAGUAUGAUAAGGCCCUGACGAUUUUCAACCACAAAAAACAAAAUCAGUGAACCAAAAGACCAUCCUCGCCGUCGCUCCCAUUGUUUUCCUGUACGUCGGUGUAGAGCACCUUGGAUCGGCCAUGGGACGAGGAAGAGGGAGUUCUUUGACCUCGCCAGAACUGCACACCCACGCACACGUGUUCCGCACUGCACCGGACGCACCAUGCCAACUGCACGGGGGCUGGGGGUGGGCAGCCGGACUGCUGCCCUACCCUUCCUUGGGCUGUAAGGCGUCACCGCUGCCUCCUUAGGAUGGCCAUGUCCUCACCACCCCCGCCGGAGUCCAUGGCCGGUGGGCCGCCGGACUACAAGCCCUCGCACCGGAGGACAGCGGGCGUGCUACUGACGGUGUGCUUUAGGAGGAGGAGGGGAGCUGUGAAGGGGGCGAACCUGCGGCCAUACCCGGGGCCUUGCCCGUCCUCCUCGCAUCAUCAAUGGCGUGACCGUCGGGAUCCUGCACGGGGAGGUAUCGGCGAGGCUGUGGAAGGGAUGGACCCGGUCAGAGGCGCCGGAUCAGACAAGGGCGCAGCGCCGCCUGGGCGUGAGGAGUGGCAAUAGACGACAUCCUGCUGUGAGAGAGAGACGAGAUCUCAGGGAUGAACAUAGGUUAGAGAAAGGAGGAAGAACGGGGUGCUCGAUUUCGGCAUGGCUUGGCCGGAUCCAACGCCAUGGAGCCGCGGAGGUCAUGGUGAGGUGCGCCGGCAGAGGUUAGUCGAGGGUGGGGCACAGGCCACAACGGGGGUGGUCGCGCCGCCGCGUGGUGGGAGGUGGUCGGGGGUGGGCGCGCCACCGCGUGGGAGGUGGUCGGGGGUAGGGGUGGGGCACCGCCGCGCGGUAGGAAGUGGUUGGGGUGGUCCUGUGGCGGGAGGUCGUGCGGCGGCGCUUGGAGAGAGAUGGAGUGGCGGGUCUGGGAAGGGGAGCUCGUGGGGAGUGGAGGGAGGAGCACGGGGACAGGAGAGAGAGGUGGGUGGUGACGAGAGGAUAAGGU